UGGGGAAUUUUGGACAAUGGGCGAAAGCCUGAUCCAGCAAUGCCGCGUGUGUGAAGAAGGCCUUCGGGUUGUAAAGCACUUUUGUCCGGAAAGAAAUCCUUGGCUCUAAUACAGUCGGGGGAUGACGGUACCGGAAGAAUAAGCACCGGCUAACUACGUGCCAGCAGCCGCGGUAAUACGUAGGGUGCAAGCGUUAAUCGGAAUUACUGGGCGUAAAGCGUGCGCAGGCGGUUUGCUAAGACCGAUGUGAAAUCCCCGGGCUCAACCUGGGAACUGCAUUGGUGACUGGCAGGCUAGAGUAUGGCAGAGGGGGGUAGAAUUCCACGUGUAGCAGUGAAAUGCGUAGAGAUGUGGAGGAAUACCGAUGGCGAAGGCAGCCCCCUGGGCCAAAUACUGACGCUCAUGCACGAAAGCGUGGGGAGCAAACAGGAUUAGAUACCCUGGUAGUCCACGCCCUAAACGAUGUCAACUAGUUGUUGGGGAUUCAUUUCCUUAGUAACGUAGCUAACGCGUGAAGUUGACCGCCUGGGGGAGUACGGUCGCAAGAUUAAAACUCAAAUGAAUUGACGGGGUCAUAGCUGUUUCCU
rnacentral:rRNA from 1 species